UAAGGAAUAUUGGUCAAUGGACGCAAGUCUGAACCAGCCAUGCCGCGUGAAGGAUGAAGGUCCUCUGGAUUGUAAACUUCUUUUAUCUGGGACGAAAACGGGAUUUUUAUCUCAAUUGACGGUACCAGAGGAAUAAGCACCGGCUAACUCCGUGCCAGCAGCCGCGGUAAUACGGAGGGUGCGAGCGUUAUCCGGAUUUACUGGGUUUAAAGGGUGCGUAGGCGGUCGUGCAAGUCGGGUGUGAAAGCCCAGGGCUCAACCCUGGAAGUGCAUUCGAUACUGCAUGGCUAGAGUCCCGGAGAGGAUGGUGGAACUCUCGGUGUAGAGGUGAAAUUCGUAGAUAUCGAGAAGAACACCGGUGGCGAAGGCGGCCAUCUGGACGGUGACUGACGCUGAGACGCGAAAGCGUGGGGAGCAAACA
rnacentral:rRNA from 1 species